CGAAAGACUCUCGGCAACGGAUAUCUCGGCUCUUGCAUCGAUGAAGAACGUAGCGAAAUGCGAUACUUGGUGUGAAUUGCAGAAUCCCGUGAACCAUCGAGUCUUUGAACGCAAGUUGCGCCCGAAGCCAUUAGGCUGAGGGCACGCCUGCCUGGGUGUCGCCC
rnacentral:rRNA from 1 species